GAUGAACGCUGGCGGCGUGCCCAAUACAUGCAAGUCGAGCGAAUGGAUUAAGAGCUUGCUCUUAUGAAGUUAGCGGCGGACGGGUGAGUAACACGUGGGUAACCUGCCCAUAAGACUGGGAUAACUCCGGGAAACCGGGGCUAGUACCGGAUAACAUUUUGAACCGCAUGGUUCGAAAUUGAAAGGCGGCUUCGGCUGUCACUUAUGGAUGGACCCGCGUCGCAUUAGCUAGUUGGUGAGGCAACGGCUCACCAAGGCAACGAUGCGUAGCCGACCUGAGAGGGUGAUCGGCAACACUGGGACUGAGACACGGCCCAGACUCCUACGGGAGGCAGCAGUAGGGAAUCUUCCGCAAUGGACGAAAGUCUGACGGAGCAACGCCGCGUGAGUGAUGAAGGCUUUCGGGUCGUAAAACUCUGUUGUUAGGGAAGAACAAGUGCUAGUUGAAUAAGCUGGCACCUUGACGGUACCUAACCAGAAAGCCACGGCUAACUACGUGCCAGCAGCCGCGGUAA
rnacentral:rRNA from 1 species